UCAGAGCCCAGCAGUCGGACACAGCUGCAGAAGGAGCGCAGCUCAGUCUGAUCUCAUCAUCAGCAGUUACAGCCUGGUUCGUCCCAGCAGUCGCUGCUGGAUCAUUGUUCCUGCUGGUUCCUCACCAGCCACUCUGCCCAUAUCUGCCCAGUCCUGCUCUGUCCUGCCCAGUUCUGCCCAGUCUACCCUGGAACUCUCCCGAGAGAGGCCAGAAUAAUCCCGGAGGUUCCCCCCUCUGUCCUCGCCUCGGCUCCAAGCCGCUGAUCUCCGCUGCACUCCUGCAGCCCUGGCGCCGCCUCCACAGACUGCAGGCUGCAGAACCGGUCUGCCGCCCCCCCGUUUGGACUUAUUUAAUCAAAUAUUGAGCUGCAGGAUUUUCUGGAAGCGUCUCAAACCUUCACUGCAGCUCCAGAAUCUUCCGUUAACGUGACCGAUGUUACAGCACAACGAGGACAGACUGGAGGAGGAUAUAAACCGACAUGAGGAGACGUAUUGAUGCAAGCACCUGAGAAAAGAGGGCUGGACCCUUUGGAGCACCGAUUCGGGCCCGCAGACCACAUGUUGGACACCCCUGGUCUCUAUGACGGCAUAAAUGCAACGUUUUGUGACAUUUAUUAACAGAAAAGGUGUGAAUUUGCAGGAAAAGUUGGUGAGAAAAGAGCCACGGAUGCUGGUUGAUUAGAAGCUGGAGAGACGUAAUGAAUGUAUAUUAAUUCUGUCACAAAGACAAACAUUGAAAUUGCUUUGCGUGUGACUGGAAUGCAUACGAGCCGCUCUGUCUGCCCAGGUGGGCCGAUAAAUAGGAGACAUUUUAAUAACAAAGACCUUGCCUUUAAUUCAGAAUGUUAAGAGCGGCGCCAUUUGUCAGAGCCGGAGCUAUUGAUGUGUUCAUAAUGGAAAUAAAGAACGUAAACACACAGAGGAGAUGGCAGAUGGUGGAAGUAAGACACCUGAGAGAGAGCCAGAGAUUAAAGAAAAAGCUAGAAAUAAUAAUCAUAAAAUAAAAUAAAUCUCACACAAAGAAAGAAACUAAGAAAAGGCACAGACAGGAAGUGCAUCCAGCCUAUUAAUUAAAGCUCAUCCUGAUUGUUCUAAAAACAGUCGACAGACGACGUCACACAUCAAGUCUCUGAUUCCAUCUGCAGCCAGUCGACUGCUUUGAAGAGAAACAGAAAAGAUUAUUAAAUAAGGCAGGAAUCAUUUCAUGUGCUGUCGAGUCAACAGCUACUAAACAGUGACAGUGACGCUGAUUGGCUCUCUGAUAUCUGAGCAACAGAAGGAUGAAGGACAUGAAGCAGAGCAGCACAAAGACACAAGUGUGAGAGACAAUCAGAGGACUAACAAAGAGCCACAGACAACUAGCUCUCCUCCACUUCCAGACAUCUGCGAGCCUCUUUUAUUCUGUUUCCCUGAAAUGAGAGCAGAACGGCGGCUCCUCUCCAGCCAGCGUUGGCCGCUAAUUAACAGCUCUGGAGAGUUUCACCACCACUCCGUCCUCGUUUUCUGGGAGGUUUUAGGGAAACAGGCGAGAUCCGUGUGGCUCGUUAUUCCAGCACGAGACGAGAAUCUUCUUCUUCUGUUGGUACAAGUUUGGCUGCAACUGGAAAACAUGAACAACUGGUUAAUUAAUCUGAGAAACAGAGAUCAGAAAUACUUUACUGAUCCCACAGGGGGAAAGAGAUUAAACUGGCUCCCAUUUAAAGUCUCAGAAAUGUAAGCAGUAUAUAAGUAAAAUAAGAUAAAAUAAAAUAAAAUAAUACAUUUUAAAAAAUUAAAAUUGAAUAAAUCAAUCUAUCAAUAAAUCAAAAAAUACAUACAUAAAUAAAUUACAAAAUAAAAUAAAAUGCAUUUUUACUAAAUAAAUAACAUCAAUAAAUAAAUAAAAUAUGUAAAUAAAUAAAUAUUAAAAUAAAAUCCAUCAAUGAAUAAAUCUGUCAAUAAAUAAAAUAAAUAAA